rnacentral:rRNA from 1 species
GUACACAAAAAUGCACAUACUGUGAGCUCGAUGAGUAGGGCGGGACACGUGGUAUCCUGUCUGAAUAUGGGGGGACCAUCCUCCAAGGCUAAAUACUCCUGACUGACCGAUAGUGAACCAGUACCGUGAGGGAAAGGCGAAAAGAACCCCGGCGAGGGGAGUGAAAAAGAACCUGAAACCGUGUACGUACAAGCAGUGGGAGCCUCUUAAUGGGGUGACUGCGUACCUUUUGUAUAAUGGGUCAGCGACUUAUAUUCUGUAGCAAGGUUAACCGAAUAGGGGAGCCGAAGGGAAACCGAGUCUUAACUGGGCGUUAAGUUGCAGGGUAUAGACCCGAAACCCGGUGAUCUAGCCAUGGGCAGGUUGAAGGUUGGGUAACACUAACUGGAGGACCGAACCGACUAAUGUUGAAAAAUUAGCGGAUGACUUGUGGCUGGGGGUGAAAGGCCAAUCAAACCGGGAGAUAGCUGGUUCUCCCCGAAAGCUAUUUAGGUAGCGCCUCGUGAAUUCAUCUCCGGGGGUAGAGCACUGUUUCGGCAAGGGGGUCAUCCCGACUUACCAACCCGAUGCAAACUGCGAAUACCGGAGAAUGUUAUCACGGGAGACACACGGCGGGUGCUAACGUCCGUCGUGAAGAGGGAAACAACCCAGACCGCCAGCUAAGGUCCCAAAGUCAUGGUUAAGUGGGAAACGAUGUGGGAAGGCCCAGACAGCCAGGAUGUUGGCUUAGAAGCAGCCAUCAUUUAAAGAAAGCGUAAUAGCUCACUGGUCGAGUCGGCCUGCGCGGAAGAUGUAACGGGGCUAAACCAUGCACCGAAGCUGCGGCAGCGACACUAUGUGUUGUUGGGUAGGGGAGCGUUCUGUAAGCCUG